UGCGUAGGUGGUCUUGUGUGUCAAGUGUGAAAUCCCACGGCUCACCCGUGGAACUGCACUCGAAACUGCGAGACUAGAGUCCAGGAGGGGAGAGCGGAAUUCUUGGUGUGGCGGUGAAAUGCGUUGAUAUCAAGAAGAACACCGGUGGCGAAGGCGGCUCUCUAGAAUGGUACUGACACUGAGGCACGAAAGUUGGGGGAGCAAACAGGAUUAGAUACCCUGGUAGUCC
rnacentral:rRNA from 1 species